CCUACGGGUUGCACCAGUGGGGAAUAUUGUACAAUGGGCGCAAGCCUGAUGCAGCCAUGCCGCGUGUAUGAAGAAGGCCUUCGGGUUGUAAAGUACUUUCAGCGAGGAGGAAGGCAUUAAGGUUAAUAACCUUGAUGAUUGACGUUACUCGCAGAAGAAGCACCGGCUAACUCCGUGCCAGCAGCCGCGGUAAUGCGGAGGGUGCAAGCGUUAAUCGGAAUUACUGGGCGUAAGGCGCACGCAGGCGGUCUGUCAAGUCGGAUGUGAAAUCCCCGGGCUCAACCUGGGAACUGCAUCCGAAACUGGCAGGCUAGAGUCUUGUAGAGGGGGGUAGAAUUCCAGGUGUAGCGGUGAAAUGCGUAGAGAUCUGGAGGAAUACCGGUGGCGAAGGCGGCCCCCUGGACAAAGACUGACUCUCAGGUGCGAAAGCGUGGGGAGCAAACAGGAUUAGAUACCCUCGUAGUC
rnacentral:rRNA from 1 species